UUUUGAUGCUAUAGGUCGAAAGGCCACUACAUGGAUAUCUGUAGUAACAUAGAGCUAAUACAUGCAAUAUAGUCUGACUUUUUGGAAGGACUAGCACUUAUUAGAUAUUAACCAAUCCCAGCAAUGGGUUUCUUGGUGAUUCAUAGUAACUGAACAAAUCACAUAAGUCUUGUACUGGUGAUGUUUCAUUCAAAUUUCUGCCCUAUCAACUAGAUGGUAGUAUAUAGGACUACCAUGGUUGUAACGGGUAACGGAGGAUUAGGGUUUGAUUCCGGAGAAGGAGCAUGAGAAACGGCUACUAUUUCUAAGGAAAGCAGCAGGCGCGCAAAUUAUUCAAUGGAAACAAUUUUCCGAAAUAGUGACAAAAAUAUCAAUGCUAGGUACUACGUAUUUAGUAAUUGGAAUGAGUACAAUUUAAAUCCCUUAACAAGUAACAAUUAGAGGGCAAGUCUGGUGCCAGCAGCCGCGGUAAUUCCAGCUCUAAUAGCGUAUAUUAAUAUUGUUGCAGUUAAAAAGCUCGUA
rnacentral:rRNA from 1 species